CUAACGGCAUCCGUUUUCAAUUCCCUCUUAAAUUUUUCUUCUGUUUUCGAUUCAUGCUCUCCCACUGCGUCUGUUAAGAACUAUUUCAUCCCCAAUCUUCCAUCACCACAUCACGCUUCCACCACCCAGUCCCAGUGAAUCCGCUGCCAAACCCACCUUCCACCUCCAUCAAACCCAAAUUGACACAACCUCCUUCAAUUUGGGUUUCAUGCGUUGAUUCUUCCACUUCUUCUAAAGCCCCCAUUCAAUCUGAAAUGAAGGUUUCCGAGGCUCUUUGCUUUUCUGAUAUUUGUUGAAGGUUACUUGAGAAGUCAAUUUCUGAAAUGGGUCUAUGGAGCGGACGCGAUCGGAGAGCAAGCGAUUGGGAGCAGCAGCAAAGAAGGGAAGCCAGGUGCCUAGAAACUUUGAAGAGUUUUGAGGCUCAGCAGUUUAUUGUAAUUUUGCUGCUUCAAUAACUCAUAAGUUAGUAGUCCAAAACCCAGAUUUGGCGGUGGCAAGCAGAAGAAGAAGAUAAUUUUUUUGGACUACAAGUACAUCCAACUUCAUGUUUUCAUAGAAAGACUAUACGCUUUUUGUUGAACCACUCUACAACAAAUCAUGAAUACAAUGGAGAGGAUUGUGGAGCGUCCCUUUGGUUAUAGCAGCACUUCACCUUUGAAGGCUAUAGAAGUCGAAGUACUUCAAGCAUGAAUCCAGAAUGAAAGGAAACAACAGGAUAGCAAGAGUUUUUUGGCCAGUUUUGGUGAAACUUUUGCAGGGGGUAGUAGAGAAAAAACUUCAUCUCCUGAAGCAUUCCACAAAAAGCAUAACCGUGGAGAUGAUCAGGAAGUGGGGUUCCUGGCGGCAUAGACAACCAUGUUCCUGCAAGAGCCUGUCAAAUAUGAAGAUGGAAAGAAGAAGGUUCACUUUACUCUCUUUUUUGUUUUUUUUCUCCCCUAAAUGUUGCACAGAAACAUGGUUGACAUUUUCACUUAAGCUAUCAGCUGUAAUCAGGUUGGUUAUACUUUUAGCAGAACUAUCAUGGCUGUACAUGUAUCUAAUUUUUUGCAGAUUAAGUUUUGCAUUGUUGUCUUAUAUAUUGAUAUCAAUUCUUUAUUAUAAGAAGUAAUCUCCAACUAAUCUUGAAUGAACUGCAACUUAAUUUUUUUUCCCUUUGAGAUCAGGUAAUGGUUCUUAUUAUGAGUUCAAUUGAUAAUCACAUAAGAAACUUUUAAAUAUUUAAGAGAAAAGCUUUCAUAUCACUGUUGCCUCAGUUUUUUUAGCUGAUACUAAUCCUCUUUAACAUAUAUUAUGUUUGCUUGCUUAGUUUUUAUAUUUAAUUUGGCAUUUUCGGGUAAACACUACUCUUUGCAUAAUUAUUAAUUAGUCUAAACAUUCCAUAUGAUUUUGAUGAAUGAUAACCAGGUGCCACUUACAUAUGCAUAUUUUUUUUGGGUAAGCACUUACAUAUGCAUAUGUUUAGCCAUUAAGAAACCUUCAGCAACUGGUGCAAUGCAUUGUGAAGCUAUUGGCAAACACUUUAGGAAUGAUUUUGUGUUUUCAGUUGAGGUUCUGAUUUGAGUUUAAAUAUUUUUUAUGGUUUU